UACGUAGGGGGCAAGCGUUAUCCGGAUUUACUGGGUGUAAAGGGAGCGCAGGCGGCGCGUUAAGCCUGGUGUGAAAGCCCGCGGCCCAACCGCGGGACUGCAUUGGGAACUGGCGCGCUGGAGUGCAGGAGAGGUAAGCGGAAUUCCUAGUGUAGCGGUGAAAUGCGUAGAUAUUAGGAGGAACACCAGUGGCGAAGGCGGCUUACUGGACUGUAACUGACGUUGAGGCUCGAAAGCGUGGGGAGCAAACAGG
rnacentral:rRNA from 1 species